UGCUCCUUANUNUGUAAGAAACAUUCUUGGUUUGCAUCCAGGAGAUAGGAUUAGUGUCCUAGGAGCAA
rnacentral:tRNA from 1 species